UACGUAGGGUGCAAGCGUUGUCCGGAAUUAUUGGGCGUAAAGAGCUCGUAGGCGGCUUGUCGCGUCGGCUGUGAAAACCUGGGGCUCAACCCCGGGCCUGCAGCCGAUACGGGCAGCUAGAAUUCGGUAGGGGAGACUGGAAUUCCUGGUGUAGCGGUGAAAUGCGCAGAUAUCAGGAGGAACACCGGUGGCGAAGGCGGGUCUCUGGGGCCGAAAAUUUGACGCUGAGGAGCGAAAAGCGUGGGGGAGCAAAACAGG
rnacentral:rRNA from 1 species